rnacentral:rRNA from 1 species
UACGGAGGGUGCAAGCGUUGUCCGGAAUCACUGGGCGUAAAGGGCGCGUAGGCGGCUCGGUAAGUAGGGGGUGAAAUCCUGCGGCUUAACCGCAGGGCUGCCUUCUAAACUGUCGAGCUUGAGCACGGUAGAGGCAGAUGGAAUUCCCGGUGUAGCGGUGGAAUGCGUAGAGAUCCGGAAGAACACCGGUGGCGAAGGCGGUCUGCUGGGCAGUUGCUGACGCUGAGGCGCGAUAGCGUGGGGAGCAAACAGG